AGUAUCUUUUCCUCCCCAUUUCAAACAGGGAUCCAGGCGACAUCCGUGACAGUCGAUCUCUACAGCAGAACAGCAGCAGCUGCCAGCUGCAUGAAACACAUUGCGGCCUGCAAACUGACUGAAAUGAUGACUACUCUUAACCAGACAUCUCAUUUUUCCAUUUGUGAGAGGCUGAGAUCUGCAAACCUCUGGGUCUCAAGAGGUGAAAGAAGGCUACAUUAGCCACUGCAUUAGCCAACUAAGAGCAAAAACUCAACUCUUCUUUGCUAUUAAAGGAUUUGCCGGUUAUAAACGGCUAGGAGACUUCACAGAGUUUCUUAAGUGUAUGUAAUGUUUAAAUUUCCCCAUUAAGUGUAAGGAGGCAAAAAAAAAAAAAAUCCUUUUAAAUAACUAAGCAGAGGGUAUGAAAGGGGAGCGAAGAAUAGACACAACUGUUACUUUUCAAAGAACUUCAGCUCUUUAUUCCAACAAAUAUUUACACAAUUGAAGGCCACAGCAAGAGGGAUAUAGCCAUUCUGUUAAAAUAGUGGGCAACUCUAACGGUUUAUUUAUCCCAAAUCCGACUGUCCUGUUGCUAUCCUACCAGGAACCAAGAAUUCACGUGUUCACAGGGCCAGAGUUUAGCUUUCUGAAACUGUGGACUUCAUUUAGACCUCUCGCAGCCGGAUUCAGACGUCAGAAUCGCAGAGAUAACAUCUCGAACGCCCGAAUUAAACCAAACAAGGAAGCUUAAAAUUACACGUCCAAUACUUGAAAAUCUACAUCUGUAACUUACACGUUCAUAUUACGAAGGAAAAUGUGGCUGGCAAAUAUUUACACUGAAAGACUGCACAUUUUUACGCCUCGUCUAGUCCACUCCCAGCUGUGCCUGCCCAUGACGAGCUGUGCACUCCAGAGCUGUUGAGUUGCUGCGGGAUCAAGGUUUCUAGGGAAGAGGGCAGGGCCGGGCGCCCAGAGGAUUUCCAGGCACCGGACACUUUACCACCAGAAAAAGCUGCAGGCGUCGCUCCCUCUUUUACAUAAGAAAGUCCAUCCUGCUGCCUUGCGAAGGUGUCUGCUUCUCCUUUACCUCUUGCCACGAUUCUGUUUCCUGAGGCCUCCCCAGCAAUGUGGAACUUGAACCUAGACCCUGAGUCAGGAGGAAGAGGAAAGACUACAUGGGGUCACUAUCUAAGGUGUUCUUGGUGACAGCCCCUGCUGAUGACCCAGCUGACAGCCAGCACCAACCUCCAGACAAGUGAGUAAGAUUUCAGGUGAGUCCCAGUCCUAGCCUUUGCGGGUCGUCAGCUGAUGCUGAGUGAAGAAGAGACAAGAUGUUCUCUCUGAGCCUUACCUAGAUUGUAGUGUUGGAGCAGCAUAAGUACUGUCAUUGCUUUAGGCCACUGAAUUUUGGGGUGUGUGUUACACUGCAGUCGACGAUGAGAACCAGUGCCUACCUCUGCACCAGCUUUCAGAGGGGCAGAGUCCUAAA